rnacentral:snRNA from 1 species
GCUCACUUGGGAAACACAUACAUUAAAACUGGAACAGUCCAGGAGAUUAGCAUGACCCCUGCACAGGGAUGCCACACAAAUCUGUGAACUCAUGAUAUUUUU